rnacentral:rRNA from 1 species
UACGUAGGGUGCGAGCGUUAAUCGGAAUUACUGGGCGUAAAGCGUGCGCAGGCGGUGAUGUAAGACCGAUGUGAAAUCCCCGGGCUUAACCUGGGAACUGCAUUGGUGACUGCAUCGCUCGAGUAUGGCAGAGGGGGGUGGAAUUCCGCGUGUAGCAGUGAAAUGCGUAGAGAUGCGGAGGAACACCGAUGGCGAAGGCAGCCCCCCUGGGCGUA